AUUGAACGCUGGCGGCAUACCUUACACAUGCAAGUCGAACGGUAACGGGCCUUCGGGUGCCGACGAGUGGCGGACGGGUGCGUAAUACAUCGGAACGUGCCCGCUCGUUGUGGGUAACGAAGCGAAAGCUUUGCUAAUACCGCAUACGAUCUACGGAUGAGAGCCGGGGAGCGCAAGGCCUUGCGCGGGCGGAGCGGCCGCUGGCAGAUUAGGUAGUUGGUGGGCUAAAAGCUUACCAAGCCGACGAUCUGUAGCGGGUCUGAGAGGAUGAUCAGCCACACUGGGACUGAGACACGGCCCAGACUCCUACGGGAGGCAGCAGUGGGGAAUUUUGGACAAUGGGCGCAAGCCUGAUCCAGCCAUGCCGCGUGACGGAUGAAGGCCUUCGGGUUGUAAACUGCUUUUGUAAGGAACGAAAAGCCUUCUUUUAAUACAGGAGGGUCAUGACGGUACCGUAAGAAUAAGCACCGGCUAACUACGUG
rnacentral:rRNA from 1 species